CCCCGCCCUGCAGCGGGGAAGCUCUAAACAACGCGAAGGAGACAGUCUUCCGGCUGUGCCGGAAGUCCUGCCUGCGCGGGACAGGAAGUCCCUCCCCUCUCCUAAACGCCAGCGACCUCACGCCACGCAGAGCAGAGCAACUGAGGAACCUAAUUCUGACCAACAAGGAGAAAUUGCUUGGCUAAUUGGAAGUGACAGAAACCUUGGGAGAAAACAACCACAUACCAAGGAUAAUUAUAAGAAGGUAACAUGGGCUCUAAAGGAUAGUGUCAAGAAAUCCAAAGCCCCCAAAUGAGGUUUGAAGAUAUUCAUUAUAAAGUUUGGAAAACUACAAUGUGAGAACUACACAAAUUUGAGUACUCUCAUUCUGCUCUCUUAAAUCUGCACUGGUGGGACUAAGUUUCAUGGAUGACUUGGAUAUUAGUCAUCAUGAGAACAACUUUCAUGGUGAAUACUACAUGGAGAAAUUGUGUGCCUUGAAAUCAUUUGGAAGAUCAUUCCUGACAGCACCUUGAAGAUUUUUUUUCAACCAAUUUCAUUCACAAGGUAUGGCCUUCAAGAGUGUGUGGCCAUUCAAACCACUUAUACACUUUAAUACAAUCACCACAAUAGAGUUAUUCAUGUGGGUAUUUUAAGUCUGGUGGUAUAAUCUUCUCAGAUGAUAGUAUGCUUUUGUAAGUUAGAAGUCAACAUUAAAAAGGCUCAUGGAGUUAAUUUAGGUUCUGUACAAUUCAUCACUCAGCAUGUCAUUGCAGACUACACGGCCGGAGGAGGAAGGCUUACGUAGGAAGAAAAAUGCCAGUUCUCCUUUUAGAUAGACUAAAAAUCUUAAAUUUCAGGUUUAUUCUGCUCAGAAGAACAUGUACACUUGGAUGGGAAUUUGGGAGUUAAAUAUCGAAUUCAAAUUAUCAGAACAAUCUGGCUCUUUUUUUCUUUUUUCUUUUUUUAGCUGUGAGAAUAAAUGGUAAAACUAUGUCAGAAUAUUAUUAAAAAGCAAGCAUUCUCUCAAUUCAAAAGGACACAUUGUUACUAGCAGUGAUUCUGGUAAAUAAAUAUUUUUCAGUUGGCCUUCCAGUCUCAUAUCUGUUUCCUGAGUUGGUCAGUGUUAAACUGCGGUUCCCAGAUCUUUGGUAAAAUUUGUCUUCUUCUCAAAUUUCUGUAGCAGUUACCACUUAAUUUUCUUUUUUCACCUUGCUUUUCUUUUCCUUCCUAUUUUAAUCAAAUCAACUCAUUAUGUAAUUAACAAAUUAACAGUGUUUAAGUUGUUGAAUAAAUGAGAAUUCAAGAAUCUUUUUUGAGAAUCUUAAAUCUUGCAACCAAAUAUUACUUUUCAAAUAGUAGGUGAUUUUUAAAAUUGAGUUUACAAGACUCAUUCAGCAUUUACUAGCCUUUGGCUUCACUAAUUACAUCAAGAUAAUGACUGUUAAUCAUAUACGUAUUAAAUUUCUCACUUUAAAGUU